GAUUAUGGCUCAGGAUGAACGCUAGCGGUAAACUUAUACAUGCAAGUCGAGGGGUAACAUGCGGUAGCAAUACCGUGAUGACGACCGGCGUAAGGGUGAGUAAUACAUAUAUAAUCUGCCUCAUACUGGGGGGAUAGCUUCUGGAAACGGAAAUUAAUACCCCAUAUUAUCUAGGAGACACAAGUAAUCUAGAUGAAAGAUUUAUCGGUAUGAGAUGAGUGUAUGGCCUAUUAGUUUGUUGGUGGGGUAAUGGCCUACCAAGGCGAUGAUGGGUAAGGGUUCUGAGAGGAAGGUCCCUCACAUUGGAAUUGAAAUUCGGUCCAGACUUCUACGGAAGGCAGCAGUAGGGAAUAUUGGUCAAUGGGCGAAAGCUUGAACCAGUUAUACCGCGUGCAGGAAUAAGGCUUUAGGGCUGUAAACUGCUUUUAUAUAAGAAUAAUGUUAAUCUUUUUGGUUAAAGUGAAGGUAUUAUAUGAAUAAGUACCGGCUAAUUCCGUGCCAGCAGCAGC
rnacentral:rRNA from 1 species